CUCUGUCCCCGAUCCACCUCAUUCGUAAGAAUUUUAGAGAUUAAUUAAUAAAUUUUAUGAAAAUCUAGUGACCUUACAGUAAUUUACCCAAUAUUAUCGCUGGGUCGAUUCCGAGGUUUCCUCAGUCGCUAACAAGAAGUCCAGAUAGAAAUAGAUUGCUGAAUGGAUCUUCCAGUCCGUAGUAGAUUUCUCACCUUCUUGUUCUCUUGCAUUACAACAACCACCUAAUCUUGGUAACUGUAGAGUGUGGAUUCUAGUCAGUAUCCAUGUCUACAGAAAACACAGAGCGUCGCGACCUCCUUCUGCUCAUCCUCUUGUUCUUCGUCUUCAAGAAAUCAUAUGCUCUUGUUCCAAAUCAAUUCAAGGUGGAGAUGGAAGUUCAGUGUGGGAGUUAGUCGAUUUCCUCGAAACAAUCUCGGG
rnacentral:misc_RNA from 1 species